rnacentral:rRNA from 1 species
UACGUAGGGUGCAAGCGUUAAUCGGAAUUACUGGGCGUAAAGCGUGCGCAGGCGGUUUUGUAAGUCUGAUGUGAAAUCCCCGGGCUCAACCUGGGAAUUGCAUUGGAGACUGCAAGGCUAGAAUCUGGCAGAGGGGGGUAGAAUUCCACGUGUAGCAGUGAAAUGCGUAGAGAGUGUGGAGGAACACCGAUGGCGAAGGCAGCCCCCUGGGUCGAAAGAUUGACGC